CUACGGGUGGCACCAGUGGGGAAUAUUGCACAAUGGGCGCAAGCCUGAUGCAGCCAUGCCGCGUGUAUGAAGAAGGCCUUCGGGUUGUAAAGUACUUUCAGCGGGGAGGAAGGGAGUAAAGUUAAUACCUUUGCUCAUUGACGUUACCCGCAGAAGAAGCACCGGCUAACUCCGUGCCAGCAGCCGCGGUAAUACGGAGGGUGCAAGCGUUAAUCGGAAUUACUGGGCGUAAAGCGCACGCAGGCGGUUUGCUAAGUCAGAUGUGAAAUCCCCGGGCUCAACCUGGGAACUGCAUCUGAUACUGGCAAGCGUGAGUCUCGUAGAGGGGGGUAGAAUUCCAGGUGUAGCGGUGAAAUGCGUAGAGAUCUGGAGGAAUACCGGUGGCGAAGGCGGCCCCCUGGACGAAGACUGACGCUCAGGUGCGAAAGCGUGGGGAGCAAACAGGAUUAGAUACCCGAGUAGUC
rnacentral:rRNA from 1 species